GUGGGGAAUCUUAGACAAUGGGGGAAACCCUGAUCUAGCCAUGCCGCGUGAGCGAUGAAGGCCUUAGGGUUGUAAAGCUCUUUCAGCUGGGAAGAUAAUGACUGUACCAGCAGAAGAAGCCCCGGCUAACUCCGUGCCAGCAGCCGCGGUAAUACGGAGGGGGCUAGCGUUGUUCGGAAUUACUGGGCGUAAAGCGCACGUAGGCGGACCGGAAAGUCAGAGGUGAAAUCCCAGGGCUCAACGUUGGAACUGCCAUUGAAACUCCUGGUCUUGAGGUCGAGAGAGGUGAGUGGAAUUCCGAGUGUAGAGGUGAAAUUCGUAGAUAUUCGGAGGAACACCAGUGGCGAAGGCGGCUCACUGGCUCGAUACUGACGCUGAGGUGCGAAAGCGUGGGGAGCAAACAGGAUUAGAAACCCGGGUAGUCC
rnacentral:rRNA from 1 species